rnacentral:lncRNA from 1 species
UUGUUAAAUAAUAUCUUGGGAUUAUCUUGAAAAUAUCCUUGAUUGGAUAUGAUUGGAAUUCUUGCAUGUUUAAGUUGAUCUUCGAUUAGGAGAAUCUUAAAGGUAGAUUUGGUAAUUAAUUCUAUCUUUAGUGCUUUGACUUUACUCCUUGCCACGAGUAAGGAGCUUGAUGAUUUCCUAGUGAGCUGCUCUAGCCUAUAAGGAUGUUGAACUAUGUGUGGGAAAAGAUUCAAGUGUCGUCUUCAAAAUUUUUGAAAUUAUAUUUUAAUCCACACGUAUCUUUCAUAUAUAUAAGGAGUGCACUUACAUGAAUGAACAAAACUUUCAUUCUUUGAAACAACUAUGUUUCGUGUUUGACAUGCACUAGAUAACUGAUUCAAGUGUUUUACUACAAAUCAUUUUUAUAUACAUUUUGGUGUGAAUUCAAUCUCACUGAUCCUUCUUCUAAUAAUUAACAGUUUAUGUCAUUAAUAUCCCUCUGUCUAUGAGAAAAACUCACUUCUCUGUGUGAUCUUAUUGUCCCUCAGUAGGGCCCAAUGUACGGCCGAAUAGUAACAUAGGGGGUAUUUCAAGGAAAGGGAUCCUCCUGGAUCCCUUCCUAAUCCACCAAGUUUGGAGAUCCAGGCCAUUGAAAUUUGAUCUAAUGGCUAAAGUUAUUAUAACUUUUAAAGUGGGUCCCUGUUUGUAGCCGUUUGAUCAAAUUUCAAUUAUUUGAAUUCCCAAACUUGGUGGAUUAGAAGAAAGGGAUCCUCCCUUUCCUUAUUUCAGGUCGUUAGUAGUUGGUAGCUGCCAAUAAAAAAUUUUCUUAAAAAGUUAAGUUGGUGGUAAACCCUUGACAAGAAAAGUUUGAUGGCAAACCCAUAUGACUAACUAGGUGGGAGGUUUGUCACAGAGAGAGAGAGAGAGAGAGAGAGAGAGAGAGAGAGAGAGAGAGAGAGAGAGAGAGAGAGAGAGAGAGAGAGAAAGAAGAAAGGGAUCCUCCCUUUCCUUAUUUCAGGUCGUUAGUAGUUGGUAGCUGCCAAUAAAAAAUUUUCUUAAAAAGUUAAGUUGGUGGUAAACCCUUGACAAGAAAAGUUUGAUGGCAAACCCAUAUGACUAACUAGGUGGGAGGUUUGUCACAGAGAGAGAGAGAGAGAGAGAGAGAGAGAGAGAGAGAUUCUCAUUUUUUAAUAAAAUUGUGAUUAGUUGUGGAGUUCACAUUACAUCCAAUUUUAACGAUCCGAACCGUCUAUUUUUCAAGUUGCACCUCAUAGAUCAUCCUUGCAAAAUAUUAGCCAAAUUAGAAAUGUUUAAGACAUCUAAUUGUGUUCAAAGAAAUUAAUGAAUACUUUGUUAUAUAAGAAACAAUGAAAUUUUAUCUUGAUAAUUAAAUAGGCAAAUGGUUUCGGAUUGAAUUGAAUUUUUGCAAGGAUGAUCUAUGAAUCGAGACUUACAAAAUAGACGGUUUUGAUCAUUG